rnacentral:lncRNA from 1 species
UACAUAUGGCUAAACUUGUGCUUCAUAUGGGAACUUUCGCGAUUUAUUUUCAGGUGUAAUUCCUGUAACUAAGGCACCAACUAGUUUCAUCAAAUAUCACCAUGGCAGUGGGGAAGGAAGCCUACACCAAAUGAACACAUGAAAACACUGGUUCUACAGGAUUCUAAUGCAUUAUCUCCCUGCAGACAUGGCCUUAAUCUGUGCUUAUGUAACACACUCUGCAUUCAGCCUGAGUUUGGAAGCAUUUCCAACAAGAACAUUAUCCAUAAAACAAAACUGGUUGCAAAUUAGAAUCCUGAAAUGAGUACCUGAGACAUGAUGAGGGGCAAAGCAUGCAAUGGUAGACCCUUACAAAUGUUCAUAUUUUUAUUUACUUAUUUUAUUUAUUUUUUGAGACAGGGUCUCGCUCUGUCAUCCAGGCUAGAGUGCAGAGGUGCUGUCAUAGCUCAUGCAGCCUCGAC